ACCAGAACGCCCGCAGCUCUUGGGCCAACUCCUCCUGACCUCCUUCUCUAUCAGAAAAAGAAAAAAAAAACUCCUCCUGACCUCUUCCCUGCCGAGCACCACCGUCCACCCACCGUCAGGUGGUCGCGUCCGCCGACGACACGCAGCUCCGCGUGCGGGAGCUUCGACUUCAGGUGGCUGCUGCUGCACUCGACCGGGGCCACCUGGUCUGCGUCGCCGUGGACGAGUCUCGCCGGCACCCCCGCCGACCAGAUCCGGCCCACCCGUCCCUCGAAGAAAAGCAGAUCCGGGCCACGCGUAAUACGCCGACCACAACCCUAGCCCGAAUCAGCCUCCGCCGGCCGCCGCUUCCGGUGGGGAAGAGGAUGCCGCUUGCGGCAGCGACCGAGGACGAAGCGUGGCGCCCUUUCACGUCUCUCAUCCAGGUCGACGCCGUCCUCGCCCUGGCGCGCGUCCUCAAGGAGCAGGAGCGGGCAUACAUGAUGCUCCGGAUUAACGGAGGGCUGCGGCAAGGACAGCGAUUGCGGGAGCUCCGAGGCCGGGAGCUAUGAGUCGGUUCACCACCACGAGCACCCAGGCGACGGCGAGGGUGAUGAUGCCGAUGAUCUUGAUGCUGAGGCUAAGGGUGAGGGUGAGGGAGAGGAUGAAGGCGAGGACAAGCUCUGUGAGGAGAGCGAGUUUGUUGAGGGGUUUGUUGAGGUGAGGAUGAGGAACCAGAGCUAGACCUUGCAGAGUACAGGAUGCUGAGGCUUACGCGCGAGUGCUUCAGGACGCCAAGGAGCGUGAGGUUGCCUUGCUGGGACCAGGAUUGGCGAGCAAUGGACAUGUUGAGGAUCACGUGAACGGCAAACAGGCCUCCAGAAGCUCCAGUGCAUAGCGGACGGCUAAAGCGUGCGGAGAAUGUCAAGAGAGGGCGGGGUCGACCGAUUUUGACAUGGGAGGAGUCCGUUAAGAGAGACCUGAAGGAUUGGAGUAUCGACAAAGAGCUAGCUAUGGACAGGGGUGCAUGGAAGCUUGCUAUCCAUGUGCCAGAGCCAUGAGUUGGUUGCGAGAUCUUAUGGGUUUCACCUCUAGCCUACCCCAACUUGUUUGGGACUAAAGGCUUUGUUGUUGUUGUAUAUUCACAUGCAAAUAUAUGUGGAGCUUUAAUUCACACUAUUUGUUCCAGCAUACACACGCACAUAUAUUCUCUAUUACCUGAUAGGAUUAUGUUUUCUGGUUUUUUUGAAGUUGGGGGGAGGGGGGGGGGGCUGGCUGGGAUGUUUAUUAGGUAUACAUUUAGUGAAUGUUGCUGCAUUGUAGUUGACUGGAUUCGUCGUUAGUUGGCUUUUUUUAUUCGUUCGUGACAUGACUGUGUGUGUUCAUGCAAGGCUGUCAUGCUGGGUUUCACGCGUGAUGUGACCACGUGUUCUCAUGUAGCGCCGCUUAUGACGCUGUUUCUGGGUGCCGCUUAAUUUGCCGCUAAUUAUAAAUAGGGGGUUGAGGUUCCUGAUUGAUCUUGCUUUAUUGUGUGUUCUUUCUUUAUAUUGUCUGAUUUAUGGUUUGCGGAAGUUACUUUGGAGGGGGAUCCCGUCGUUGAUCGUCCUACUGGAAUUCGGUAUGUUAGUCGUGUGCGUGGUGGACAAGGUCGUGGUCCGGCUCUAGUUUCUGUUGCUGGCCGUGAUUCUCUCGGUGCUCUUUUGUUGUGGGUGGGUGUGUCUGUGCCGUCUGGGUGUUGGCCGUUCGAUGAUUCUUCUGCUGUUGGUACGUUUGACUUGUUUUGUGCUGUUGUUGAUAUUUUUCUGGAUGCCUGACGUUUGUUUUACAGUACGGGGUGAGGAGAAUUUGAUUGAUCCGUAGUUUAACAAGUUAGCUAAGUAGAGUUUUUCUAUAGAGAUGCGGACCCAGACCUGAAACUGAUGGCAUAUAUCCAGGUCGUUUAUGAACAUACAGGUUUUUGCAGCCUUUUAAUUUAGUACUGGUAGAUUUUCCGAACAUACAGGUCAUAAAUCACUCCAUGUUUUUACAGUCUUUUGAUUCAGUACUGGUAUAUUUUCCAUUGGAGUUUUACAAGAACAUCAAUUCUUGGCCAUGCAUCUUGACUACCAAAAAAAACGAAGAAGCAGGAAAUGCUUUUUAGUACUAGAUAUUUGAUGCAUAAGAGUUUUAUGGCUUCAUGACAGAGGCUAAAAAAAGGUGCAAGAAUAUGUCCCAGUUUGGCAUACAGCUGGAUAGAAGUCCUGCUUUAUUUUUCAUUCGCCUAAGAUGUGUGUGAUUUCUUAAUUUGUAGCGACAAAGGAUAAUCUGAAGCUUCUUAAAUCAUUAAUUUUCUCUCUUGCAAGUUUCAUUUCUGCAAAUAACAUCACAGGAGAGCUGCCCUCAAACUUCUGUAUGCUCACAAACAUGACAUAUUUGUAUGUCUCAUUCACGUCUAAUUAGUAAUUUUCUUGCUUUAGUGACACGUCUGAUUUUUACAAUCUGAAAAAUGUCCUAACAGAAGCGCCAAGGGCUUCUUUCUUUGUUGGAUUAUUAUAUUAUGUUCUGUAAAUUACAUAGAGCUGAAGGAGAAAAAUGGUAGAAGACAUUCUUUGCUUAUGUAACACCAAAAGGUUGAUUCGGUACCAGUUCAGCUUGUGUUCCCUUAGGUUGAUUUGUUCAUUGAGACGCUGGUAAAUUUAUGAGCAUCAUCGACUGGAUAUGGCCCUUUCAGAUGGAUGAUUGUUUGUAUGCAUUCUUUUUGUCACAAUUUUUCCAUGAUGAAUUGCAAGGGUGGAUCAGUGCAUCGGUUUUUUGUGUCAUUGCAAAGGCGUGGCACAGCCCUAAAGCCAUUGGCACACCCCUAAUAACAGUUGCCCUAGGGACAUUUGCGCAUGCAAGGUUUUCCUAAUAACAGUUGCCCUAAGGACAUUUGUGCAUGCAAGGUUUUCCUAUCGUGUGCUUUAUGUACUGCACACUUGGCUGAUACAUUGCUGAACUCCACACUUUUUUCGCAACUUCAUAAGAAUUUAGAAUUUAGAUACUUGCUUUACUUUGGUGCUACAUUAGCUCAUACCUUCAUAAGAAGAUGUGUAGUAGCUGUAGCCUACAUUUCCCGAGUUGCGGUUUGGUCAUGACCGCAGUCACGGCAACGUUCUUCCUGCCCAAAGACGGGGAUACCAAAUGCACAAUUGCUGCUUUGCUGUUAUGAGAAAUACAGUUCUUACUGACGAUGUUCUGCCUGUUUCUUGUGUAGGAGAUGGCUACAGGGUACGAGAUUGUCAGGAGGGCAUAUACUUGUGCUGUAAAUUUGUCAUCCAACAAGGUGAUUGGUCUUUGCAUAAUUGUGAACUGGUGUGGUGAGCCUCCCCUUCGUUGCUCUGGUUUACCAACGGCAGUCAUAUCUUCUGAGUUUGCUUUGCUUGGUUUGUACAGACAGAUUAAUAAUUUUUUAGAGCUACUUGCUGAACUUCACCUUGUAUCUCCUCUGAACUUUCUGUUUAGCUCUCUAUUCAGAAAUCGAUUGUGGAGUAAAUGCCCAGAACUGUAUGAGUUUAUGAGCUUUCCCCCUGCAUGCCAAUGA
rnacentral:rRNA from 1 species